AGAGGAAGAAAGAAAAGGAGGGAGACGAAUUAAAUAUCUAGUUAACUUCAUCAUGUGUGUUUAUUUACUAGAUAUUUAAUUUAAUUGAAUGCGGUUUCAGCUGUGUUGAUUCAGUCAGGUUGUGUGUCCAAACACGUACCAAACGCGCUCAUCAGAUCAGAUAUAGAUCAGAAUAUAUCUAUAUAGAUCUAAAUGUAUGUGCUGACUCAGAUUAUUAGUUGUUGUUGAUUAUUUAUUGCACUGAAAUCUGCCUGACACUGUGGAAACCUGCCGGUGAGGCAUCAGUGACGUAUGCCGAUACGCCGUAGGUCUACCAAAAUACCACUAGACCAGCUGCGCUCUGCCUGCGCUGAAAGCUGACCAGGUUUGAAUCGGCGAGCUUUCAGCGCACUUUACACGCCACUGGCGAGCAUGAAAAUGUCACUGCGCCCGCUGAGUCUGGCGACACCUCCCCCUGCCACGCCACCACGCCCAGCUUGGCGGAUCUCGGCUCGCCUCCGUGCGCAUCAGUCCACGAAAAUACCAAACUGGCUGUACGCUGGGCUCCGCCAGACUAAAAUACAACUGCGUGGGGUCCACCACCCUCCGUCGCCUCACCGGCGAGGCACGAAAAUAGAGCCCGUAGUUUUUUAGAGCAGAAGGCACAAUUGAUUUUAGUAGUUUCUAAGUCUUUUAAAAAAUUGUUUUUAUUUUUAUUUUUACUGAGGUUACAAACAUUAGAGAUAGACCAGUAAUUGGUUGGCAGAUUAAUCAGGUGGAUCAACAGCAUUUUGACAUAAUUAUAUCCAAAUAAAAAUUAGUUUUAAUACAUGACUUAAAAGUAGGGAGGGUCGGGUAUGUUUUGAUCUCAAGGGGCAAUUCAUUCCAUGAUUUGGGAGCCACAGCUGAGAAAGCUUGAUCACCUCGGGUUUGUGUGUGUGUGUGUGUGUGUGUGUGUGUGUGUGUGGUGGGGGGGGGCAUUUAAGAGGCCAGAGAUUUACUGUUGUGCUGAUCCAUUUAAUGAUUUAAAAACAAAACUAAAAUUUAAAAAUGUAUUCUAAAAUGAAGGGAUGCCAGAAUUGGAGUGAUAUGAUCAUGUUUUCAUUAACCUGCUACAAGAUGAGCUAACUGUAAGCGUGUGAGGAAAGCCUGAUUAACACCAGUGUAAAGAACAUUACAUAGGCCUCACAAGGUCACUGAACAGCCACUGGCUCAUGUUUAAUAUAAAUCCUCUUAUAAAAAAGCAGUUGAAUAGCUAUAAUAUUUCCAUUUACCUUUUAUAAAAAUAAAAAAAAAUCCCUGAGUCUGUAUUUUUGGCUCUGUUCUGAUUAAGGUGCAAGCUUUGACUGCUGUAAUCAUGUUUUCUUAUGAAAUCAGAUCUAAUUGAACUGUUUGUACCAAAGAGGAAUAUGGCCUUACUUGAAUGACUCGGUUCUUUUUGAUAGUUUAGAUAGCACAGGGUGAUGAGGCACCAAAGAGCAAAACAGACAAUUCUUCAACCAUCCUGACACUAAUCUUGGCAUUCAAUAUAACACAGUGGCCCGUUUACAUGGGUCCAGAAAUCCUAUUUACUAUCAGAUUGAAAGGUUAAUCAGAUUCAAAAUGUCUCAUAUUAACACCUUAGCCAAUCUGAUUCACCCAGAUCUGAUUGUAUUUCGGGUCGGAUUGUAAGAGGUAGUCUACACCGAUUGAUUAUCCGCUCCAUGCUCCAUAUAUACGGCUGAGUGGAGCGGAUUGGGUUUACAAGGAGGCUUGUUCGUUCUGCGCAGGCGCUCGGUAGUACGUAAGAGGCACGUAGUGACGUACGCAGGGCGCGCCCAAACGAAAACAAACAUGGCGAACAAACAGAAAAACUGGAUGGUGGAGUGUUAAAGUGUGUUGUUUCGUGCGACUGACGAAGCGUACACUUCUUGCUGUGUAAUCCGGCUGGAUUAUACUUUUAUUAAACUUCAACACAUAGGGUUCCUUACUCUGCUCGGUCUGGUAACUCCGGUGGUGUCACACACAAACACGUCCGUGGGCAACCCUAAAACGGAACUAAAACAAUGGUUCCUAUUAACAAUUCCCGUUGAUACAAUGCAAUACAAUUGGAUUCAGCUGGGGCCAUGAAAACGCGGACUGAACGUGGAUCUCUUUACUUAAUGUUCAUGUAUACAGAUGGAAUCAGAUUCACUUAAUCCGAUUGAGGAAAACUACCCAUGUAAACGGGGCCAGUGUCUGUCACUGAAGGUUCAAAAGAGCCUUCAACAAUCAUCCAGAGAGCAGAUUGAGCUCAUAGGUGUCAUCAGGAGAAAGGGCUUGUUGUUUGAAGGACACAUUUGCAAGUUUCCAACACAUACAUUUAAAAAAAAUCAAUACAUCCUCACCGCACUUCUUUCCUUUUUCUGGACAUGAAAGAGAAGUGUUUUGAUAAAUAAAUGUUUUCAAUGCAGCACUUCGAUUCCUGACUUUAAAUUAACUUUUACAGUAAUUCCCCUUCUGACAAGAAUGAUGUCAUCAUAUGUUGGAUUACCACUGCUUAAUGUUUUGUUAAAUAUUAAAAAUAAUAUAGUGGUCGAGGCCGCUCUGCUUUUACUUUUGGCUUAAUACACAUUAUUCUUUUCAUAAUGGUAAUGAUUUCAUAGUGCAGCUGCCAUAUUUUUCUAUGUAACAACUCUCAAUUACAGGGUCUCAGCCAGCAAAGAUUCCAAAACAAACAAACAGAGUAGUGUCACUUCCCUUUAUGUAAGCUCAUUCUUUUGGAUGUAUUACAUUCAACCUAUUCUUAAAGAGAAGAGAAGCAAAAAUGAUCGAGUGAAGACAGUAGAGAAAGAGAGAGACAGAUGCGAGAGUGAAGAGGUAACUCAUCCACCCCCUCACGCUCAUCUUCUCCGAGGCCCUUUUCCACAAAGCUUUGACCUUCCUAAUGUUUAACACAACAAACAGCUCGCCGCCCACCAGGUCUCCAUCCACCAUCACCGUCUCUGGAUAAACCGCCCUCCUCAUCUGUGCUUGGCCAUAUAUCAGCCACAAACACACCAAGCUUACUCAUACUAGAGUUAGCGGAGUGAAUAUGAAUGUCAAUCAAAGACCUUUGUCAGCAUGCAACAUUGGUGCUACUCUACAGUGGUGUAAAGUGUUGCAGCCCAAUAUUUCUUGUGGGGUUUACCUACCUUACACACCACCCGGUGUCAAAAAAAUAGAAAAAUCAUAAAAUCUUAUAGAAACGCAAAAUCUGACAAGAUGCAUCAGCCACUUCUGUUCUUCAGGCUACCUGUGACCCCUGUUUUGUCUGUGGUCAGUCUCCAAUACAGUUUUUCUCUAUUGCCAAAACACAUUUCACCAUACUCUAAACCAAAUAACCAGUUGCCUCGACACAUUUAUUAAAAUGAAGCCCCAUUUGCCACAACCAGAAACACAUUUCACCUGUAGACACUAUUCACAAUACCCACUCACUUCUUCUCAGAACUCUAAACACAUUUUUUUUCUUGCUAAAACACAUCCUGCAAAACACAUCUGCUUAAACAUGCAUAGUUAAGCUCAUCCACAAUAGCUCACAGCCUGCCCAAUGCCUCUCUUUUCUUUUUUUAGUGAGGCUGAAGCUGGCCUCAUCCACAAAUAUAUUCAUGUACUGUAGUCUGGUGAUGGAGCACACACUGGUGACGGAGGAGUUUGAUUCUGGGUACUCUAUACUGUAAUAGGCCUGCUUCAUGCGCCCCCUCUGAUGCUGGAGUCAGUGGUCAGGCUGAGUUUGUGAAGUUCAGAUUAUCAGCAAAGAUGUUAUCCUGUAUUUCCCCUUAUGAUAUUUCAGUAUUCUCCUGAACCAUGUCGAUUCUUGGGAUGCGUCUCCCACCUGCAUGUGGCAGUCUUUCAAAUCUGUGCAGUAAAACAUACUGUCAUUACUGUGAUAAAAAAAAGUUACACCCUGAACAUUGUGUUUUCAAUUGUUACUGUACACUAUACGUAUGUAUUGUGUGCAAUGGAUCUUCCAUGGUAUUUACACUGCUUUGCAUUGAGUUGUGAUACAGUAACUGAUUUUCUUCAUGUGACAUGAAGAAACAUGCAGGAUGUAUGUAUGAGGGAGACAUGAAGAAGGUUAGUAACAUCUAGUCAAAACAACAAGGCAACUUCAAAUGAAAAUGUCUCAUCAGCCAUUCAGGUGAGCAUGUGUGCCCUGCAAUGACAUGUUUUAUAAUCCAAUUUUGAGAGGGCACAGCUGUCAGUCAAUUAUUCCUCCCUCUCACCUGCCAAGUGACUGGAUCAGCUAAAGCUUGUGUGAACUGAUGCUAAUUAAGGAUGGCCAAUAUUUUUUAAAUAUUCCAUUCAUCAUUAACAUUUAAAUAAUCAAAAAGUUCAUGCAACAAUGGUUUUGUCUUUAACAAAAAAAAAAAAAAAAGCCCUUGGAUGACGCCAAGGGCUCUAUUUUCGUGCCCAUGGGCAGCGUGGCGGAGGGUGGCAGACCCCUUGCAGUGCUAUUUUCAUCUGCCAGAGCCCGGCACACAGGGGAGCUGGCGACAGAAUCAGCUGGCGCAGUGAUAUUUUCAUACGCCCGCAGUGUAGAAAGUGCGCUGAAAGCUUGCCGAUUGGAACCUGGUCAGCUUUCAGCGCCGGCGGAGCACAGCUGGUCUAGUGGCAGACCGGCAGCAUAGUGCGCAAACGUUACCAAUGAAAUAAAUAGCCAACAACAACCAAUAUUCAGUGCAGCUAUCUGUGUCAGCACAUACAUUUAGAUCUAUAUCGAUUUAUUCUGAUCAAUAUCUUAUCUGAUGAGCGCAUUUGGCAUGUGUUUGGACACUUCACCUGACCAAAUUAACACAAUUUAAACCGCAUUAAAUUAAAUAGCCAGUAAAUGGUCCCACAUGGUGAAGUUAACAAGAUAUUAAAUUCAUCUCCCCCCCUUUUCUCACUUCCUCUUCCUCUUAUUUCUCACACAGCUUGAUCCGGACAUGUCUCCGUGUGCUCUCCCUGUUCUGCUGCUGCUGCUGCUGCUGCGGCAUGGUCGACCAGAUUAUUUAUUUUAGUGAUCAGAUGAGUUAUUUACUUCAAAAAAUUUGAACAAAAUGAAACAAUUUUUCAUUCAAAAUUCCCUGUUUAUCUAAUGUUCUCAUAUCCUUAAAAUUCUGUGAAUAUUCAAUCCGGAGUUAGGCUUAGAUAUGAAUAUUAUAAAAGUCAGUUGCGUGAGCCAAGUUCAUUUUAUAUGCCAACAUUUCUGAAAGAAAGAGCCAGGCCACAGAGCGCGAUGCGUCCUUUAUGCACAGGUGGUUCUGAUUUUAAUGCCGUUAUUGGAGUUUAAAUAUAUCCAACUUUGUGUGAUUGUCUUUAUUUGUGGAAAAGGGUGUUUGUCUUAUCGGUGGGUACAACCUUACACACACCAAAUCCUUCUGUGCUCAUAUGAGAGAGUGUGGAGGGCCUUGCAGCGCUUUCAGCGACACUUGUUGAGGGGCUGCCUUGAGUCGCCAUCGUGUGGUAUUGCUGUCUUCAGACAUCUCUUGAUCUCCUCAACUACUGCAUGAAAAUUGUACUAAGCCUCGCCAUUGGCGGAUUUAAAGAUAAGGAGAGGCGCUGAUGUGAUUUGUGAAAACAGGUCUCGGCUGUGUUAAACCCACUCCACGCCCUCUCUCCUCCCUCUCUACUAUUUACGCCGCUGGGAGGAGCUGAGUUAGGGAGGGGGGAUACUUACGCCGGGCUGCACCACGCACCAAAAUACCAAAUCGUGCUUGGGCAGGCCUUGUUGGUGCGGCGGACCUGACUUACGCCAUGCCUGACAGUUUGCUUUCAAAUUGACAACACACAGCUGAAAACCUGGCAAAUGGGCUUUCCACCGCAGCUGAACACUCAUCAGUGCAUUUCAUGGCAUACAACACAUUGCUCUGUUUGUGUCUGGGGGUUUUGUCUAUAGGGUGAACCAGCCUCUGUCGCAGUGUGUUGGUGGGUUUGAAGUGUACCAGGAUGUUGUGUUUCUGAAAUAUCUUCCUGAGUUUCUCUGACACUCUAGAUAAGUAAAAAAAUACAAUGCUGUGCAGCUUGUUGUUCUCUUCUUGUCUGUUGGUCUCUAGUUUCUUAGAAUACUUGACGAAGGCCCACUUUGGGUACCCACAUGUUUUCAGGGCUUCCCGGAGGUGCUCUCUAUCUUAGUUAGUAUCUUCUCAGCCCUGUGUUGAAGAGUUUCAAUGACGCCCAGUUGUGUCCUAGUGGAUGGUGAGAAUCAAAACAGUAGAAGCUGGUCGGUGUGGGUUGGGUUUCUGUACACUUCAAUGCUGAGGCUCCUAUCCUCCGCCAGCCAGACUUGCAGAGGACAGAAUCAUGCACAAUCUUGUAGUCAGGGUGAACUUGUACAUUAAGGAAACAAAACAACCAUUACCUACGUAGAUGCAUAUCCCAGCACAGGAGAGCCAGAACGCAGCUGUUCACUUACAUCUGAAGGAUACAGGACAUUCCUUUGAGAACAGCUAUGUCAGGAUACUGGCCAGGGAAGACUGCUAGUUUAAAGGAGGUGUCAAGGAGGCCAUCUUUGUGUUGAACAGAGGCAGCGGACUAAGGCUCUUCUUAUCCCUCACUUGCAAUUCAGCUUUGGAUUUCGACAGCAAUCAAAACAAGGCUUUUGUGCUGGAUCAGGCUCCAACAUCAUGCAAGCAUAGCAAAACUGAAGAAACUGUUUGGGAGAGGAGGAACGUCUUUAAGAACAUCAAACAAGUCCAGUUGCCCUUUCAAUUGAGAAUUGGAUAACUGUGACUUGGAUGAAUGAGAAUCUACACAGACUCCAAUGACUGUAAUGGGACAUGAUGAUUCAGAGUUAAUGACACAGACAGAAAGAGGAUGGAGAAGGAGAGAAAGGUGCUCAAUGAGCCAGUACCCCCGGCCAUCUAAAGCUAUAGCAUCAUAACUAAGAGCUGGCCCAGACUUGAACCAGCUUUACCCGUACACUUUAUACAAGAGGACUAUUUGAAGCCCACUCUUAAAGGGGGAGAGAGGGUGUCUGCAUCCCACUCCCUGACUGGUAGAUAACCCCAGAAGAGAGUAGCCUGAUAAUUGAAAGUUCUACCACCAAACCAAAGCAGUUCCAGUAAUACCUAUUUGUUGAUCAAGCUUCAACAGGUUCUGAUGGUCAAUCAUAUCAAAGCAGCACUAAGAGCUAACAAAACAAGUACCAAGAGAAGAUCACUGUCUGUGGCCAUCAGUAGGUCAUUAGUUCCCCUCAGUAAUGCAGUUUCAGAGCUAUGGUGGACUUGAAUCCUGACCUAAAAUCCUCAAAUAAAUUUUUGCUGCUGAGAAAGUCACAGAGCUGACUUUUUCAACUAAGUUCAAAUCAAGGAAUUUAUUCCUCAAACUUAGCUACAGCACUGCCAGACGGGCACCUAGUUAGCAUGCUUUUGUUAGGUUUAGUGUAGUCUGAUAGGACAAAUCUAAUCCGAGAGUGGUCUUAUAAAAAGGAUUUUUUUUUUUGUGGGAUGACUGUUAGUUCUCCAGUUUCAAGGCUAUAGCCAAGAACAAGAUAAGAUCAAGGGUGUGAUUAAAACUGUACAAACCCAAUUGAGUCCAACAAGGAGAGAAAAGCCAGGCUGAGGCUUUUAUUUUCAUCAUCCACAUGAAGACUGAGGUCACUGACAAUAAUGGACUUGUGUGUGUUGAGGACUAAAUUAGAUGUGAUCUCUGAAAUUUUAAAGAGGAAUUUGGAGGCAAGGAGGGUGGUAAAGAUAUAUCACACUGACUCAGAAAUGUAAAUGUAACAAUUAAGCAGAAUCACAAAAUCUUUGAUGCUGGUUUUCAAACACUGACGGUCAAAUUUGAUCAAGGUAGUCCAAGAGUUCCUCAGAAAGUCAAUUUCUUGGUGGUCUGGUGUACUUUUGCAGAUCAUACGGAAGCAUCAGCAUCAAUCACACAUCCCAUAGUGAAAAUACCAGCCAAGAAAAAAAAACUGAAAUGUAUAAAUUUAUCAAAAUUUAAUAAUUAUCAAAAAGAAGUCAUUUAUGCUUUUGUGGAGAAAAGAUAGUAGUUAAACAGCCAGCUAAAUCUUAAGCAACGAGAUGGGUACGGUCAGAAAUGCAAAUACAGAAUGCCUUUAUCUUUAUGUUGUAAGGCUGGAAAAUAGUGCUUGUGGUUACCUGGUCAUAAAGUUGUGAUUAAAUGUAAUAAAAACAGAGUUAAAAAAAACAACAACAAAAAAAACCUACAUUUCCAUUUUCUGUCAAUGGGUACACAUUAAGUUUUUAACUCUAACCUACACAUUUAUUUUAUUUUAUUUUAUUUUAUUUACUUUGCUUGGGUCUGAGACUUGGCUUUGGAGAAUACUUGUGUCCUUAAGUUGCAUGGUGUUGUUAAUGUUAAAUAUUAGUUUGAGUUUGUUGAUGCUGCACUGGCAGCUCUGCAGUUUUUCAGAGACAAAGCUUAUUUGAUCUACAGGACGUUGCAGUGUUCCUCUAGUAUGACAUGUUUAAAGAAUAUAAGAUGAUGAUUAAUCAGAAACACUAUGACCAUGAAGUGACAUAGGACAAGAUUAGGCAAAA
rnacentral:lncRNA from 1 species